CUGAGAGUUUCAGGAUGGGCAGCGCAGCAUCGGUCAGCGAGGACGUCCAGUCAGAGAAACUGGUCGAAUCUGCAGCUCUCCAGUCCUCCACUGUGGCAGGACGGAGCGAUGAUGAGCAGCAGGCAGACGUGUCAGAGAGCUCUGAGAAGAAUACUGAGGACAUCCAGUCCCUGAAGAGCCAUGACAUCAACUCACAGAGCAAAGAUGAAGACAGAGCAGCGACAACAGCAGCACCAGAAGUCGUGGCAGAGGGUGAAGAAGUGUCUCUGGAUUUUGAAAGUUUCCUUCACAACAACGGUAUGCUGUACAGCUGCUUCAACCACAAUGGAC
rnacentral:lncRNA from 1 species